rnacentral:lncRNA from 1 species
AUGGAGGGGGCGGGAACUACGCCCACAUGGAGGGGGCGGGAACUUAGUCCACAUGGAGGGGGCGGCCACUCAGUUCACAUUGAGGACUGGUCAAACAGCAUUUCUGAUCCCGUUUCUGACCUGAAAUUAGCUGAAAUGUACCUGAAAUUACCUGAAAUUAGAGUGUGCCCGCCCGAGCGAGUGAUGCCUAAAACAUGCAAACAAAACUGAAGACCAGGAACUGGAACCUGGGAACCUGAAAGAUGAUGUUGUCCUGAAAGACACAAUUCAGGCAGCAGCAUGGUGCCAGUUACAGUCCUUCAAGGACAGCGUUUCUCUCCCAGAGGUCAUUGGGAUGGAAGGUUGGGAGCAGAUGGCAGCAUCAACACAGCGCAAAUCCCAUGACGGCGGGGAUGAGGAAGAAACGUGGAAACCAUUCCAAUUCUCAUUCAGAUUACAUACUGAUAUGAACUGUUCUGUGUGGAGAUGAUGGACAGGAGAAACCUGAAGGUGUUUGCCUCUUUUGAGUCAAACACCUCUCCCCCUCCCCGUGACGCCUGAGCCACACAACUCCAAUGUAGUCUGAUGAUGCAGCAUAAUGGCGGCGCUUGGCAGCUAUGUAUGGAGGUAGAUUUGUGUCUUUAUUAUGCAAUCAAAAAUAAUAGGUUUGAGAGCAAAACUUUCCACACUGCAAUCAAAAAAUAGGUUUGAGAGCAAAACUUUCCACACUGCAAUCAAAAAAUAGAUUUGAGGGCAAAACU